rnacentral:rRNA from 1 species
ACGAACGCUGGCGGCGUGCCUAAUACAUGCAAGUAGAACGCACAGUUUAUACCGUAGCUUGCUACACCAUAAACUGUGAGUUGCGAACGGGUGAGUAACGCGUAGGUAACCUGCCUGGUAGCGGGGGAUAACUAUUGGAAACGAUAGCUAAUACCGCAUAAUAUUAAUUAUUGCAUGAUAAUUGAUUGAAAGAUGCAAUUGCAUCACUACCAGAUGGACCUGCGUUGUAUUAGCUAGUAGGUGAGGUAACGGCUCACCUAGGCGACGAUACAUAGCCGACCUGAGAGUGUGAUCGUCCACACUGGGACUGAGACACGGCCCAGACUCCUACGGGAGGCAGCAGUAGGGAAUCUUCGGCAAUGGACGAAAGUCUGACCGAGCAACGCCGCGUGAGUGAAGAAGGUUUUCGGAUCGUAAAGCUCUGUUGUAAGAGAAGAACGGGUGUGAGAGUGGAAAGUUCACACUGUGACGGUAUCUUACCAGAAAGGGACGGCUAGCUACGUG